rnacentral:lncRNA from 1 species
UGGCCUUCAACAUUCUGGGCGGUCUGCAGGCGCAGCUGGACCAGAUGAGCGCUAAGAGCGACCCCAAGCGCAAGCGAGCUGUGCCAGCUGCGAUUGGCCUGGGAGCCGCUGCCACGCUGCUGGCUGCACAGUCUGCAGAGGCUUCGACUGAGCUCGCAACUCUGGCUGCUAACGACAACCGCCUGGGCAUCAUCGCAACCCUGUUUGUUCCUGCCCUGGGCUGGGUGGCCUUCAACAUUCUGGGCGGUCUGCAGGCGCAGCUGGACCAGAUGAGCGUUAAGAAUGGUCCUGCCCGCAAGCGGGCCGUGCCGGCUGCCAUUGGCCUGGGAGCCGCUGCCACGCUGCUGGCUGCACAGUCUGCGGAGGCUUCGACUGAGCUCGCAACUCUGGCUGCCAACGACAACCGCCUGGGCAUCAUUGCAACCCUGUUUGUCCCUGCCCUGGGCUGGGUGGCCUUCAACAUUCUGGGCGGUCUGCAGGCGCAGCUGGACCAGAUGAGCG